rnacentral:piRNA from 1 species
UUUAUUGUUGUUGUUGUGU